rnacentral:sRNA from 1 species
UCCUCUUUCCCAUCUUCCCAUAGAUGCAAGCCUCCCCUAUCCAGCCCCAUUCUAGAACUGCAUUCAGAGGACACACUUCAGAUGGAUGGACACAUACUGGAUUCAAAGAGAUAUGCCGUUAUUGGAGCAGAUCUCCGAGACCUGUCUGAACUGGAAGAGAAGCUAAAGAAAUGUAACAUGAAUACACAAUUGCCAACACUCCUGAUAGCUGAAUGUGUGCUGGUUUACAUGACUCCAGAGCAGUCCGCAAACCUCCUGAAGUGGGCAGCCAACAGUUUUGAGAGAGCCAUGUUCAUAAACUACGAACAGGUGAACAUGGGUGAUCGGUUUGGGCAGAUCAUGAUUGAAAACCUGCGGAGACGCCAGUGUGACCUGGCGGGAGUGGAGACCUGCAAGUCAUUAGAGUCACAGAAAGAACGGCUCCUGUCGAAUGGGUGGGAAACAGCAUCGGCCGUCGACAUGAUGGAGUUGUACAACAGGUUACCUCGAGCUGAAGAUAGAAUCACUUGAAUUCCUGGAUGAAAUGGAGCUGCUGGAGCAGCUCAUGCGGCAUUACUGCCUUUGCUGGGCAACCAAAGGAGGAAAUGAGCUUGGGCUGAAGGAGAUAACUUAUUAAUCUGUCGAAGGCUUAUGCCGAG